rnacentral:rRNA from 1 species
GACGGAGGGUGCAAGCGUUGCUCGGAAUCAUUGGGCGUAAAGGGUGCGUAGGCGGCUUUUUAAGUCUGACGUGAAAGCCCAGGGCUUAGCCUUGGAAGUGCGCCAGAAACUGGAAGGCUAGAGUGCCGGAGGGGAGAGUGGAAUUCCUGGUGUAGCGGUGAAAUGCGUAGAUAUCAGGAGGAACACCAAUAGCGAAGGCAGCUCGCUGGGACGGUACUGACGCUAAGGCGCGAAAGCGUGGGGAGCGAACAGG